GGCUAUUGAUGGCAGACUUCGGGAAUAACGUCAUUCCUUUUACAUUCUUCAUUGUACUUCAUUGCUAAAAUUACAUUGACAUGAGUCAGAAGAUGUCUUCAAGCAUUGCUAGAGUUUGUUUCUACCUGCGUUGAAGGGAUGCUCCAGUGCUUUGCCAUGCUGUUAUCACUUCUGCAUUUUUUUUGAAUGACAAUACUGGUGGGGCCAAAGGGAUGGAGAAUCUAUCAGAAGAAAAACAGAAGAAUAAAUGCACCGUUUUGAAGACUGGCAAACGAUCUCACAUGCAGAAUAACAAAGGCAUUACUUUCAAACUCACCUGAUGACUGCAUUUCCGGCUUCAAGUUUCUACAUCAUUUCUGCCCUUCUGUUUUCCCAGCAUUCCCUCUGUAUCCAAUUUCCUGUUAGUUCACUAUAAAAAUCCAUUCAC